UAGAAAAUAUUUCCCCAAAUCGUAAACCCUUAUUAUUUUCCUCAAUUCUCCUGCGAAGUCUCCAUCUCCAAUCUGAUCUUCUAUCUCCAAUUCGACCAUAUUUGGGCCUCAUCACCUCUUCUGCCAUUUGUGCUUGUCAUCACCUCCUCUGCCGGUACACGAAGAGGGAUUAUGAGAAAAUGGAGGAAGGAUUCAAUAUUUAACAAAAACGUCUGCAUUCUAGCAAGGAUUUUCGUUAGGUUUUAUCUCGUUGUAUUGUGGAUGGAGGAAGAACACAAGCUUUCCUUGUUGGGAUUACAACAAGAUUUCUUGUGUGAUAGGAUUUUGGAAUAAUGCAGAAAAGUUGAAGACUUAUGAUGGAAUGAUUAUUGGAGAACAUUCUAGGGAAUUAGAUCUAGAUGUUAAUCUUGUAAGAACUAAAGAAAACUUACCAAUAUCCGUUCUGCUUGCAAAGAUGAAAAUGUGAAGCUAUCUCCACCUCGACUUAGAUGAGUCUUGAAGAAACAAUAGGAUAUGUUGCAUCUGAUGAACUUAUUAAGGAUGCAGAAGCAUAUGCUUACCUUUUAAAAUGAAGGAUUGCAACAAUUUUAGAGGAAGGAGGAGGCCUGAGGAAAUUUACCAAAUACUUGAGUGAUAAUUCUGGUGCUAAAGGAUAUUGCAUGUAUGCCUCUUUAAAGACCUUGUAAAUUCCAUAUUUGUAAAUUGUUUAAACUUGAUUGAAAAUGUACGAAUAUUACAAAGUGUAUUAUAGCAUAUAUAUG